GAUGAACGCUGGCGGCGUGCCUAAUACAUGCAAGUCGAGCGAACGGACGAGAAGUUUGCGUCUCUGAUGUUAGCGGCGGGCGGGUGUAUAACACGUGUAUCACCUACCUAUAAGAGUGGGAACACUUCGGGAAACCGGAGAUAAUACCGGAUGAUCUUUUGAACCGCAUGGUUCAAAAGUGAAAGUCGGUGUUGCUGUCUCUUCUCGAUGGAUCCGAGCUGCAUUAGCGAGUUGGUAAGGUGACGGCUUACUACGGCAACGAUGCAUAGCCGACCUGUGGGGGGGAUCGGCCACUCAGGAGCUGAGACACGGCCCAGGCACUGACGGGAGGCAGAAGCAGGGAAUCUUCCGCAAGGGGCGAAAGCCUGACGAAGCAACGCCGCGUGAGUGAAGAAGGGCUUCGGAUCGUAAAACUCUGUUCUGAGGGAAGAACAUAUGUGUAAGUAACUGUGCGCAUCUGGCCGUAACCUAAUCAGAAAGCCCCGCCAAAUUCCGG
rnacentral:rRNA from 1 species